ensembl:lncRNA
UGGGAAAAUGGAGGCUUUCCAUCAUUGCAGCGGUUUAUGGCACCCUGGCUGAGGUGGUAGUCAUUUGUUUUUUGUGAGUUCACUGGGGAGUGAGGUAGCCUUCAGCAAUGUAUAAUGCAUAAUUAAGUCAAUAUAUCGUCACUUUGAGAUUUGGCAGAGAGAAAAAGUUGGUAUCCUUUACUGACUUCGUUAGGAGCAGUACAGAACUAUGACCCACGAGUUUAUGUUUGAAAUAUAGAAAGGUUUAUUAGUAUGUGGCUGAGGUCUUUCUUGCUAGGGAUGAGACUGAGGUUUCAGAAACUGACAUUGUCCUUUCCUCUUAGAAAAGAGAAGACUGAGAUUAUGAAGGCAGCAGUUUAAGCAUAUUUGUUGCAACAAAAGUUGUUGAAAAGUGAGUUGUUUAUGACAAGUACAUACAAAAGCAUGAAGUUGUAUCUGUUGCCUUUAUUCUGAAGUAUUUCAGAAUAGAAAAACUAUCUUGUGAAAAGUUUACAGACUACGUCUGUACUGUAUACAUGCUUGUCACCUAGCAUGUGUCCUUACGUACUAAAAGCCAUAACUAUUAAGUGGCUAGAAUGUUAAUUUCUGCAAAAUCCAGGGUUACUUCUUAUUUCUCAUCUGCCAGCACUGCUUAUUUCUGUCACUUUGUUGCUCACUGGCCAUGUUGUUAAAUGUGAAGCGGCAGAUGGAGGUACAUCGUAACAUGGUGUAUCUGAAAUCAGAGGUUAUGCCUACUAUGUGCUGUGUAGAUGGGAACCUGUGGUUGUAUUUCAUGGUUUGCCAUUAAAUUCAGUUUUAAAACAGUGGGGAAAGAUGCAAAAGCACGAACAGUUACAAGCAAAUAUUGCUGUUCCUGUUGUUUUGUAAGAUUACAUGCGUCAAGUGUUUAUUUCCACAUAGGAAGAAGCAUUUCAAGAAAAUUGUCCUGUUAGGCUGUCAGAGGAAUUGCUGUCCUAAGUAGAGUUAAAUGUCAACUGCGUUUCAAACCCCAAUCUUCACUGUUUUGUUUUGUUUAGGCAAAUAUAAAGCCACUGUCAUUCCUCCUGUCUGGGUAUCUACUGUUGUAACUCAUGUGAGAGGAAUAAACCAGCGCUCCCUAUUUCUUUAGUUAUUUAUUUAUUUGCUGUGGAUCAGAAAGGGCCAACCUGCUGUAAGUAACACUUGCAUUUUAUUUGUGCUGCUUGAUUGCUUAUAAUGGAAAAAAUGCCUAGAGGCCUAAAGUACAUUAAAGUGUUGCUUUGUUCAAAACGACACUGCAGCAUCUAGAAGAAAUAAUUGAACAAAGUUACACACUUCAGUUUUUUCCAUGUCUGAACGUCAUGCAUCAGUUCAUGAGCAGUGUCUAGAUGAAGUGAUUACAAAAUGUGAAAGGCAAGAUUAUUGCUGGACUAGCCAUUAUAAAAAUAAGGAUGAGGAGUAAUCUUUGUGCUUCUUUGUGGCAGAUGUCUAAUAGCGUUUUCUCCAGUGCAGCUGUAGUUAUUAUAGAGGGUGGCCAGCAAGAAUACUCUAUUAAUAAACUCAAAAUGAGAUUCUGUCCAUCUCAGUCGUCAGUGCCCAGAUUAUAAUCUGUUCCAUAUUGGUAAAUAUAGAAAAAUAAGCAGACAAAACCCACCCAUGUACUUCUUCCACUGUAGCUAAAAUCCUGGCUUUCUCUCAUUUGGAGGCGUACCUUUUAUGCAGGUACGGGGGGGCAAAUUAUCCAUUUUGAGUUACAAAACAUAUAUUCUCAUUCAUCUGUCUAAUGUGUGAGGCUGACUUCACAGAAUUCUUCUAUCUGUGUUUGUUAUUACUGAUAUCAGCCUAAGGAUAGACCUGCAUAUUGAUUUACACAGACCUAAUAUUAUUUUUCUUAAAUAUCUUCUGGUACUUUUCAGUGAGAUCUUCUGAGAGACCCCCGUCUCUUCAAAAUGCCAAGAGAAGGAGAUUAGACACCAGCAACAAUACAUCUGUGCAGAGUUGAUGAGUUACUUCACAUAUGGGCUAUUCAAAUAAAAAUAUGGUUGGUGAGUAAUUCACAUGUAUGCUUAUAUUUAAGUUGAUACUUGCUUAAUGUACACAACUGAUAUUUUUAGAUGAGAAGUUGCAUUAAGAAUGAAAUGUUCUGCCUCCUAGUGGUCCUAGUCUGCAAGACAUGGAAACAGUGGUUUCAGAAUGGCCCCGUCCUGUGGUGCUGCUCUGUAUCUGCAGAUUUGCUGAAGCAUGCAGGAAAGAAGAUGGAGACUGUUGAAGGAAAAAAUUGGCUGCAGGAAAUAGCUGUCUUAACAUUUCAGUACCAGUUUACAAGAGAGGUGGACGAAUUUUUUUCAAUUGUAUGUGAAGUUGGGUAUGGUUGUUUUUUUUAAAGUAUUCUUAUUUAUAUCACUACUGACAUGCUAUAUUAGGAAUUGGUGGAUGCAUGCGAUAGCAAAUACAUACACAUUCAAGCAAUUGGAAAAGCUAUUGCCUCAUUAAUAAUGUGCUUUUCCAUGUAUUUUUAUUCCUGCAUUAAUGGUAUGUACUUGUCCAAUUCAUUCCCUCAAUUAAAAUAAGUUCAUUUAAGAUGAAAAAUAUAAUAAACUCAAUCCAGCUUUCAAAAUUGUCAGUACCAUUUUUAUAACCAAGCAAUGAAAAUUAGCUUGUCUGUUGCCACAUAAAUUUGGAUAAUUCUUCUAACUGUUCUUGCAGAAUUAAUUAGGAAGUGAUACUUAGUAAUAGCUAAGUAUUUUUUCUUGUGUGCAUAUUGUCUUUAAGGUGACGUAUUAAGUAACAAAUCCUUUCCAGUUUAAUCUUUGCCAUCAGAUGAACCUUGUCCUGUCACAGAUAGUUUUAUUUUCUGAAGUAUUUUGCUGAAGGCAACCUGUUUCAGUUGUCAUUCUGAUGUGUUUCAGCUUGGUGUUUGCACAAUGUAGAUAUCUCUAACAAGACUUGUGUAUUUUCUUCUCUUUUGCUACACCAGAAGUGGUACUUCCAUGUGGAUGACUGCAUUUUGAUUAAUCCUUUUUUUUUUUUUUUUUCCCUUUGAUUUGAUUUCUCUCAAUUGUACAUGUUUCUGCAUUCCAUUUUACUGGACAGAACAUGCUACUAUCUGCCUUGGUUAGUCUAUCGUCUUACUUAUGUAAUGAAUGACACCGCUAUGGCAAUUUCUGUUUCUUGCAUGUAGAACACAGUACUUGUAGCACUCGUAUUCACUUCUGUUUUAAUGCAGUUUUAGCAGUAGAAACUAUGGGGGGAAAUAAGUAAAACCAUCAGUUCAUAGAAUCACCAAGGUUGGAAAGAACCUCCAAGAUUAUCUAGUCCAGCCAUCCACCUACCACCAAUAUUUCCC